CUCCCUUGUGUUUCCUUCUUCCUUCUUUCUUAGUCGUCUCCUUUGCUCCGACCUUGCAGUAGCUCAGCUAAUCCAACUAGUCCUUUGCUGGGUUUCCCAUAUCAGCUCCCACAAAUCAUUGCAACCCCUUUAUCCUCAGUAUUUCCCGUAAAAGGUGAGAGCUUUUACUUUGCUUCUGUCUUGUUUCCUUAUUGGCAAAGCUUGUAUUAUUUGUGUAUAUAUGUAGACACCAUUGACCUGUAUUUAGGAUGAGAUCAUAAGUCCACUGGCCGGUUGUGUAGAAUCUUGGAUUAUUUUAACUUCUACAUAAUUCUAAUCCAUCAUCAUCCACUGUUUCCAAUUAGAAUCGAAGCAUCUUGAAGCUUUUUAGUUAGUUUUCUGUGUUCUUCUGCUGGGCUAGCUUUUGUGAUUCUUAGUUGAGACUACCCACAAUUCUGUAUAAGCUUGAUCUCUUUGAGACUUUUAGGAAGGAUGGCUUGUGAGGAAGUUCAAUCUUGGAGCUUUGGUGGUCUUACAAGAGCAUUUCUUGAUCUUUUACUUGCUUAUAUCCUGCUAUGUGCAUCAGCUGUUGUGUUUUUUGCAUUGAAUUUGUUGAAGUUCUUAUGGGUGUAUUUGCCAUGUCCUUGUAAUGGAGUUUUCGGGUUUAGAAAUCGAGAUUUUUGCUUGCACAAAUUGCUUUAUGAGUGGCCUGCUGCAAAGAUUUGUGCUGUUCAGAAGUUGGUGAUGGGUAGGUUCCCUUUUGAUAUUCGGUUCAAGGAUCAAAGGUCCAACUUGAGUCAGAAGUUGAUUAGGGAUGUGAAUGGAGGGAAUGGUGUUCUUGAAUUGGGAGGCGAAUCAUGUUGCAGUCCAUUUUCGAGUCCAAGGUUGCAAAGUAUGGUUGAUAAGGAAAGUGGGUUUGAUGCUAAGGGGAAGAGAAUUGUGGUUUUUAAGAAAAGGACUGGUAUUCGGUGGCCUAGGAGGGACAGUUCAAAAUCUCCUCGUAUAUUCCCCUUGCCUCUUGAUGACAGGGAUACGAAACAGGUAUCUGGUGAAAGCUCAAUUGCUCUAGCUGCAAUACAGGAUGAGUCUCAAGUAACCAGAGAUGAUAUAGGGGAAAUAAUACAUGGAUCAGCUGUUGAGAGUAAAGGUCUAGAGGUAAAUUACCGUCAAGAAAAGAUUCCUAUUGUUGAAGAUGAAAGUGAUACAAUCAGGAUGUUACAAGGAGCUCUUCUAAAAGAGAAAGCUAUCACUGCUGCUCUCUAUUUAGAGCUGGAGAAAGAGCGGGCUGCUGCUGCGACUGCAGCUGAUGAAGCAAUGGCCAUGAUAUAUCGUUUGCAGAAGGAUAAAGCAUCAACAGAAAUGGAAGUGAGACAGUACCAAAGGAUGAUUGAAGAGAAAUUUGUUUAUGAUGAAGAAGAAAUGGAUGUUCUUAAAGAAAUACUUCUUAGGAGGGAGAAGGAGAACCACUUUCUGGAGAAGGAGGUUGAAGCAUAUAGACAGAUGAAUUCUCCAGGAAGUGAACAGCUUAAGGAUGAUUCAUAUGAUAAACUGUGUAAAUGGGGACAGACUGCUCUUGCUUCGAAUGUAGAUUCGCAAAAGAUGAUGCCAGGGACUAAUGAAACUAUAUCUGACCAUAUGGGAGUGGAAAGUAUUGCAGAAAAUACCUCUCAAUUUGAGGCUUCAUUUGUCGAGAAAAAAAUGCAUUUCAAUGGACAUGAUGUUGUUGAGAAAAGUGUCAUUUCAGCAUGGGAAGAAAAACUACAAACAGAUAAUGCAAUGUGCCCAGGAAUGAUUAAUGAAGCACUUCAACCUGAUAUUGGAAUCAAGAAACAAUUCUGUUGUGAUGGAGAAGAACGGCUGCAAGACGAGAAUAUUAAAGGCGGCUUUCAAAGUCAAAUACAUGAUACAGUGCCAAUGGUUUAUGAUGUUCAUGUCAUAGAAGGUAAAGCUGAAAUGUUGAAAGGAGGAAGUAGGCCAUCAAAUUAUGCUGCUUUGGAGGAACUCCGAGAUUCUUCUGGGGUCUCUAGCAGCUCAGAACCUCUGCUGAGCGUGGGAAAAGGCAAAACACCACUUUAAACUUUCAGAAGAGAUCAGAUAUCAGCGCUGCAAGAUUUUAAAGUAAAGAUAUCCAGUUGCUUAUUAACCUGUUUUAUCCUCCUAAGGUAUAUUUGAAGAAAGAUGUGGCCAAGUAUUUAACCCCCAGCUGUGUCACUGUGUGACCGUCUUAGGGCUGUGCGCCAUGUCCACUUUAUUUCCUUGAUGGCUGAAAGGGUAUUGUGCACAUAAACUUUGAUGUACUGUAGUUUUUUGUUUAGUGAAAUUGGCUUUCACAGUCAUGUUCUCUGUCGCCAACCUCUUCUUUCCUAGGAUAAGUUUGCAAUAGUAAAUGAUGGUCUUUGUAUGAACAGAAGUUGCAGAUGUACGUAACUAAUGACUUUUAGCCAGUUUUCUAUAAAGUAGGUAUGCACUUCUUUGUGUCUUUAUACGUCUUCUUCAUUGCUUCUGUAUAUCAGAUUUAAGAAGCUGGUUGGUCAUUUGAGUUCCUCGCACGAGAUUGAUUCUCUGUUUUUCUCUUUUAAGGCAAUCCAGCUAACUUACAGUAGACUUCAGAUUCGUGCUUAACCCCCAAUUAUUUGUUUCCUAGGAUUUUUCAUUGAUUAUUGAGACUGAAUAUUGCAUUCCACUGAUGAGGAAGAUGUGGUGCUCAACUGUUGCAGUUUUAUAUAUUAACAGAUACCCUUUGAUCCUGCAUAAUGCAUCUUAGUAAAGUUAAGUAGUGAUGCAUUAUUAGUGUCAGACUGUGAAAGUCACCAUUUCCCACCCAGUUCACUGGUAGAAGAGCACUAACUAACAGUCAAAUAUAAACAUAUAUAGCUAGGCCUCUAAGUUGGCUUGAUGGAACUACGUCUCACGUAAGCUAUACAAAGAGUACUUCUCAGUUCUCAGGGCAAGUACUAACUAAUAUACUCUUUUAACGUGCUAAUGAAAUCACAGAAGAAAAUUACUACUACUCUAGAUUAUCUUUUUCUCGUCUUGCAGCUAUGGUUCGGAGCUAAUCACAAUUCUACGAUUUUGUAGCUCGGGAGAUACGUGCAUAAAGCUGAUACGGUCUAUGUAAAUGUUCACUGUCAAGGAUAUUAUGAGUUUCGUUGGCAGGGUAUGCAAUUGAGAAAUCCCUGGUUAGAUGGUCCGGAGUAUAUCACACACGAGGUCUUGUUGUCUACAGAACAAGCAUCAUGGUACUAGGGAGAUUUGAAAGCAAGGGUUGAUGAGGUUAUGCAAGAAGCCACAUCUUUACCACAUUAUGAUGCUUAAUACCAUAAAUGGCCAGCAAGGGGAUCUUUGUCCAUGCUCCAAGGAGACAACAUAUCACUGAAAGUUUAUCAGUCGGUGCAAAUAUAGAUGCCUACCUUUUCUUUGCCAAUGCUCAACACAAUCUCACUGUUGUUGGACAGAUGGAUCCCUAUAUCAAACCCAUAUACAAAACCUACAUACUCGUAAGCCCUGGACAAACUAUGGAUGUUUUACUAGAAACAGAUUUGGUUAUUAGGGGCUAUUACAUGGCUGGGAGGCAUUUCUCUAGUGAGUAUGCUAAAGUUUCUGAAUUUGACCAUGUCAUUGUUACUGCAAUGUUGGAACACAGUGGAAAUUAUACAGUACUUAUCCAACAUCUCCCGUCUUUCCCCAGAA